rnacentral:lncRNA from 1 species
CUGUUUUUAUAUUGGGGGAGCACUGCUGCUAGCGACUGAUGAUAAGUACUGUUACCAGCAAAUGGUUGCUGGAAUGCAGAUGGCAUAUACGUAUAGCUCUGAGGCAUAAAGGGAUAACUAAUCAUGUCUUGUGGUAGUCAUAAAUCAAGUGCCAAAAAUAAAGACAAGCUAUUAGAAGUUUUGCUAAUUUUCCAAAUAGGGAUAACUAAUCAUGUUAGCAAACGGUCCCAGAGGAAGUGUUGGUUGGGAGUAGGGAUGUACAGCAAGAUGUUGUGGCACAGCAGGUCCGGUGGUGACACUAGUUCCAGAAAGUGUCUGCGGUGAAGGUUGUGCUGAUUGAAAACCAACAGUCCUC